UACCAGACUCCUACGGGAGGCAGCAGUGAGGAAUAUUGGUCAAUGGGCGCGAGCCUGAACCAGCCAAGUCGCGUGAGGGAUGACGGCCCUACGGGUUGUAAACCUCUUUUGUCGGGGAGCAAAUUCCGCCACGUGUGGCGGAGUCGAGAGUACCCGAAGAAAAAGCAUCGGCUAACUCCGUGCCAGCAGCCGCGGUAAUACGGAGGAUGCGAGCGUUAUCCGGAUUUAUUGGGUUUAAAGGGUGCGCAGGCGGAAUGUCAAGUCAGCGGUAAAAUUUCGGGGCUCAACCCCGUCGUGCCGUUGAAACUGGCAGUCUCGAGUUGGAGAGAAGUAUGCGGAAUGCGCGGUGUAGCGGUGAAAUGCAUAGAUAUCGCGCAGAACUCCGAUUGCGAAGGCAGCAUGCCGGCUCCACACUGACGCUGAGGCACGAAAGCGUGGGUAUCGAACAGGAUUAGAUACCCUAGUA
rnacentral:rRNA from 1 species